CUAUAACUUGCUUUUUGAGUGCUGAAGAAAGGUCAAUAAUGCAGAGACCUAGAGAGACUGAGGCGUCCCUCUGUUCUGGAUCAGAGAAAGCUCCAGGAUGGCAGCCUGCUGUACUUCUUCCCUUUGCUUUUCAUCUAUACUUUCAUUGUCAUUGGGAAUCUAUUGAUUUUCUUUGCUGUAAGGCUGGACAGCCAUCUUCAUAAUCCCAUGUAUAAUUUUAUAAAUAUUUUUUCCUUUCUGGAGAUCUGGUACACCACAGCUACCAUUCCAAAGAUGCUGUCCAAUCUUGUCAAUGAAAAGAAGUCCAUCACCAUCACCGGCUGCCUCUUGCAAAUGUAUUUCUUUCACUCAUUGGGAAAUCCAGAGGGAAUUUUGCUGAUCAGCAUGGCUGUUGACAGAUACAUUGCCAUCUGCAACCCUCUUCGCUAUCAGAUGACCAUGACACCCAGACUCUGUGUUCAGCUCUCUGCAGCCUCUUGCAUAUUCGGUUUCCUCAUCUUGCUUCCUGAGAGUGUGAUGAUUUCUACUCUGCCCUUCUGUGGACCGAAUCAGAUCCAUCAGAUCUUCUGUGACUUGGUCCCUGUGCUGAGCCUAGCCUGCACAGACACUUCUGUGAUUGUCAUUGAGGACGUGAUCCACGCAGUAGCCAUUAUCAUCACUGUUCUUACCAUUGCUCUGUCCUAUGUAAGAAUUGUCAUCAUGAUCCUGAGAAUUCCUUCUGCUGAGGGUAGGAAAAAGGCCUUUUCUACCUGUGCUGGUCACCUCAUGGUCUUUCUGAUAUUCUUUGGCAGUGUAUCACUCAUGCACUUGCGUUUCAAUGCCACUUAUCUCCCGGUUUUAGAGACAGCAAUUGCACUGAUGUUUAUUGUUCUUGCUCCCUUCUUCAACCCCAUCAUUUAUAGUCUUAGAAACAAGGACAUGGAGAAUGCAAUUAAAAGGCUCUUCUGCCUUCACAAAGUUUUGAACACAUCUGAAAGUUAAAUUUCAGCCACAGGUUCUUUGUUAUUGUUUAAAGUAUGUAUUUAAUACAUUAGAAACAUGGUAUUCCUUUAUCUAUAACUAGCUCGUUGGUACAUUGAAAUCUG
rnacentral:lncRNA from 1 species